rnacentral:rRNA from 1 species
AGAGUUUGAUCCUGGCUCAGAUUAAACGCUGGCGGCAUGCCUUACACAUGCAAGUCGAACGGCAGCACGGGGGCAACCUUGGUGGCGAGUGGCGAACGGGUGAGUAAAGCAUCGGAACGUGCCCUGGAGUGGGGGAUAACGUAGCGAAAGUUACGCUAAUACCGCAUAUUCUGUGAGCAGGAAAGCAGGGGAUCGCAAGACCUUGCGCUCUGGGAGCGGCCGAUGUCGGAUUAGCUAGUUGGUGGGGUAAAGGCCUACCAAGGCGACGAUCCGUAGCAGGUCUGAGAGGAUGAUCCGCCACACUGGGACUGAGACACGGCCCAGACUCCUACGGGAGGCAGCAGUGGGGAAUUUUGGACAAUGGGCGAAAGCCUGAUCCAGCCAUGCCGCGUGAGUGAAGAAGGCCUUCGGGUUGUAAAGCUCUUUCGGUGGGGAAGAAAUUGCAUAGGCUAAUACCCUGUGUAGAUGACGGUACCUGGAGAAGAAGCACCGGCUAACUACGUG